rnacentral:ncRNA from 1 species
CUAUGACUUAUAGGAAGUCAUGGCGGAAGGAG